UACGUAGGGGGCAAGCGUUGUCCGGAUUUAUUGGGCGUAAAGAGCGUGUAGGCGGCCAGGUAGGUCAGCUGUGAAAACUCGAGGCUCAACCUCGAGACGCCGGUUGAAACCAUCUGGCUAGAGUCCGGAAGAGGAGAGUGGAAUUCCUGGUGUAGCGGUGAAGUGCGCAGAUAUCAGGAAGAACACCCGUGGCUAAGGCGGCUCUCUAGUACGGUACUGACGCUGAGACGCGAAAGCGUGGGGAGCGAACAGG
rnacentral:rRNA from 1 species